AUCUACAGCCAGAAAGAAUGAAGCUCAGGCUUCAUAUUGUUCUGUAAAUUUAAAAAGCUAGCAGGGUUUGUGUUCUGUUUACCUAUCUGUUAGAAAUUUUCCAAAGUGAUUCAGUAGACCUGGCAAGUCACUUCUGCCCCUGAAACUAACCCCUAAUAAUUCGGGGGAGUUAUUUACACCUCCCCACUUGGUAUCAAUAAAACUGCAUUUCUCUCUCAUUAUAAAUCUGCUUAUGAAAACAUUUGGUGAGAUGAGCCAACUGUAUCUUGGCUGCUGGUUACAUACGAUAAUGUAUGGCCCCAAAGUGGGUAGAAGGCUGUAAUUCACUUGAGAGUCUCUGCUGAUGUCAUAAAGCGCUUGAGCAGUUUAUGAACAGCAGCAGAACCUUGAGAGAGAAUGACGGCCUCACGUUCACUGCUAGGACAUCUGUUGUUGUUCAGCUUUGACUUUCUUGUAAACUAAAAAAAGAAAAAAAACAACUCUUUCCAAGUCUUUAGCUUUCACCACGCUUUUUGUUCUUGAGCUGAAACAAACUUGAAUGGGGAGAAAAAUGAGAAUUUUUUCAGUCAGUAUCUUUCUUGCUUCAAAAAGUAGCUAAUGGCCAUUAUGUUUCCCUUUUUUAGAGACGCGAGUGGAAGAAGUUACUUUCCAGCUCCCACUCCAGCCUAACAUUAAAUGAAACAUUUGAGAAGAGAUAGUUUCAAAGUGGUCAAUGUCACAAGUGAGAUGUAUUAUUACCGCCGUCCCAGGGCAUUGCUGAGGAACACACAAGUAAACAGCAACUAAAAAAGCCACUGUCCUCUCCUAAAAAAGGACAACGUUAGUGAAAAAUAAUUUACUCCUUCUUACUGCUCUAAUUCCUGUGACUUCACAAGCAUCCAGAAACUCCUUCUCAUGCAUGAUCUGGAGGGAUAAGUUAGUCUGGGGUCGGAGGUGGGGCUCUUCCUGUUUUGUACCAGUGCUGGGCCACCAAGCCUCCACCCCCAGUUUUGCACAGAUGGUGUUCAUGGUGGACGGGGACUG
rnacentral:lncRNA from 1 species